rnacentral:rRNA from 1 species
AUGGUUAAGUUAGAAAGGGCGCACGGUGGAUGCCUUGGCACUAGGAGCCGAAGAAGGACGGGACUAACACCGAUAUGCUUUGGGGAGCUGUACGUAAGCGUUGAUCCAGAGAUUUCCGAAUGGGGGAACCCACUAUCUUUAGUCGGAUAGUAUCCUUACGUGAAUACAUAGCGUAAGGAAGGCAGACCCAGGGAACUGAAACAUCUAAGUA